AUUGAACGCUGGCGGCAGGCCUAACACAUGCAAGUCGAGCGGAUGACGGGAGCUUGCUCCUUGAUUCAGCGGCGGACGGGUGAGUAAUGCCUAGGAAUCUGCCUGGUAGUGGGGGACAACGUUUCGAAAGGAACGCUAAUACCGCAUACGUCCUACGGGAGAAAGCAGGGGACCUUCGGGCCUUGCGCUAUCAGAUGAGCCUAGGUCGGAUUAGCUAGUUGGUGGGGUAAUGGCUCACCAAGGCGACGACCCGUAACUGGUCUGAGAGGAUGAUCAGUCACACUGGAACUGAGACACGGUCCAGACUCCUACGGGAGGCAGCAGUGGGGAAUAUUGGACAAUGGGCGAAAGCCUGAUCCAGCCAUGCCGCGUGUGUGAAGAAGGUCUUCGGAUUGUAAAGUACUUUAAGUUGGGAGGAAGGGCAGUAAGCUAAUACCUUGCUGUUUUGACGUUACCGACAGAAUAAGCACCGGCUAACUCUGUGCCAGCCGCCGCCGUAA
rnacentral:rRNA from 1 species